CUACGGGACGCAGCAGUGGGGAAUAUUGCACAAUGGGCGCAAGCCUGAUGCAGCCAUGCCGCGUGUAUGAAGAAGGCCUUCGGGUUGUAAAGUACUUUCAGCGGGGAGGAAGGGAGUAAAGUUAAUACCUUUGCUCAUUGACGUUACCCGCAGAAGAAGCACCGGCUAACUCCGUGCCAGCGAGCCGCGGUAAUACGGAGGGUGCAAGCGUUAAUCGGAAUUACUGGGCGUAAAGCGCACGCAGGCGGUUUGUUAAGUCAGAUGUGAAAUCCCCGGGCUUAACCUGGGAACUGCAUCUGAUACUGGCAAGCUUGAGUCUCGUAGAGGGGGGUAGAAUUCCAGGUGUAGCGGUGAAAUGCGUAGAGAUCUGGAGGAAUACCGGUGGCGAAGGCGGCCCCCUGGACGAAGACUGACGCUCAGGUGCGAAAGCGUGGGGAGCAAACAGGAUUAGAUACCCCUGUAGUC
rnacentral:rRNA from 1 species